GUGUCAGCCGCCGCGGUAAUACGGAGGGUGCGAGCGUUGUUCGGAAUCACUGGGCGUAAAGGGCGUGUAGGCGGUCCGCUAAGUCUGAUGUGAAAGCCCGGGGCUCACCCCCGGAAGUGCAUUGGAAACUGGCGGACUCGAGUCCCGGAGAGGAGAGUGGAAUUCCUGGUGUAGCGGUGAAAUGCGUAGAUAUCAGGAGGAACACCGGUGGCGAAGGCGGCUCUCUGGACGGUGACUGACGCUGAGACGCGAAAGCGUGGGGAGCAAACAGGAUUAGAUACCCUAGUAGUCC
rnacentral:rRNA from 1 species